AACAUUCGAGCGAUUGUAUUGAAGUAUAUUAAAUACGUUUUCAAAAGCCAGAUUUGACACGGGACUACUAAUAAGAUUAAAUAUAACAGAUUGUGCAAGUUUCGAAUAUGAGUAGGUGCUGAUGUAUGUGCUACACAAAAUAAGAACAGUAUCAUACAGUGAAGCUUUUGGAAUAACCGAGUAGCGAAUCAUGGAAUCAAAAAACAUCAGAACCUCAGUAACCACAUCUUCUAAGCGAGCGUGAUUACAUAUUUGUACCACGGAAUUAACAAGCUGUAGCAUUUGAGGUUCAGGCACUAGGAACCACUGAAAUUUUACUAAGUUGGUAGAAAACUUAAAAAGGCUUUUAAAAAAAAGCAAAUGUACGAGCUUUGAAUCUGCGUCUUUGCCUUGCAAUUCAGUUGCUUGAGAUUGCCAUUGAAGAUACUGGUUAAACCAUGCACUCAACAAAGGACCAACCCUAUUCUCAAUACCGGAGAUUUUGUGCCCUUCAUCCGUUAAAACACUCAAACUCUUAAGCCGAAGCUGUAAUUCAGCAAUAUCUUGAAAAGGAUCUUUCUCAAUAGUUUGAAAAAAAGUGUGGCGCUCUAUAAUCGAGAGAUGCUUUUGUGUAGAAACAUAUCUCAUCAUAAGAUUGUAUACAAGCUCCCGAAAAGCAGCAUUAUCGUUUUUGGUGGAGAUAAAAUCCUGAAUAUUUUGCCAUACUUGAAUGAUAGAAGUCGAUGAAUAUAUAUAGUAUUUUAAGCCAUGGUAAAUACUCCUUACAAUCUGAUGCCUUUUUUUAAAAGGAAGGUUAGCAUCAAAAUAUGAUAGAAUGUCUGUAUCUUUGAUAGCAGGCUCACUAGAAAGAUCCAAAAGUGAUUUAUUGUUCAUCUAUGUGGCCUUUAUUUUUCAACGUCAAUAAAUUAGGACCUUCAGCAGAAUAACCACAUAAAGCAAAUCUGAACUCUUAACUUAAUGGAAUAUUCAAGAUCAUAAACUAUGAGCAUGGAAGUUGAUUUCAAGUAUUAGCUACACUGGUAGGGGUGGGGAGGAGAGCUGACAGGCUGCUAUGAAUUAGGGGAAGCAUUACCUUAUCUAAGAGGAAUAGGUUGAAACGACAUUAAAACUAAUA